rnacentral:rRNA from 1 species
UACAGAGGCCCCAAGCGUUACUGAGAAUCACUGGGUUUAAAGGGUGCGUAGGUGGUCCGUUAAGUUCGUUGUGAAAUCCCUGGGCUCAACCCAGGAAAUGCUUCGAAUACUGGCGGACUUGAGGCUAGUAGAGGUCACUGGAACUGACGGUGGAGCGGUGAAAUGCGUAGAUAUCGUCAGGAACGCCGAUGAUGGAGACAGGUGACUGGGCUAGUUCUGACACUGAGGCACGAAAGCGUGGGGAGCGAACGGG